UUGAACGCUGGCGGUAUGCUUAACACAUGCAAGUCGAACGGAAACGAUACUAGCUUGCUAGUAGGCGUCGAGUGGCGGACGGGUGAGUAACGCGUAGGAAUCUGCCUGAUAGUGGGGGAUAGCCCGAAGAAAUUCGGAUUAAUACCGCAUAAUCUAUUCGUAGUAAAGUGGGGGACUUUCGAGCCUCACGCUAUCAGAUGAGCCUGCGUAAGAUUAGCUUGUUGGUAGGGUAAAAGCCUACCAAGGCGACGAUCUUUAGCUGGUCUGAGAGGAUGAUCAGCCACAUCGGGACUGAGACACGGCCCGAACUCCUACGGGAGGCAGCAGUGGGGAAUAUUGGACAAUGGGGGCAACCCUGAUCCAGCAAUACCGCGUGUGUGAAGAAGGCCUGAGGGUUGUAAAGCACUUUCAAUUGUGAAGAAAAGUUAGCGGUUAAUAACCGUUAGCCUUGACGUUAACUUUAGAAGAAGCACCGGCUAACUCCGUGCCAGCAGCCGCGGUAAUACGGAGGGUGCAAGCGUUAAUCGGAAUUACUGGGCGUAAAGCGUGCGUAGGCGGUUUAUUAAGUCAGAUGUGAAAGCCCCGGGCUUAACCUGGGAACUGCAUUUGAAACUGGUCAACUAGAGUAUGGUAGAGGAAAGUGGAAUUUCUGGUGUAGCGGUGAAAUGCGUAGAUAUCAGAAGGAACAUCAAUGGCGAAGGCAGCUUUCUGGACCAAUACUGACGCUGAGGUACGAAAGCGUGGGUAGCAAACAGGAUUAGAUACCCUGGUAAUCCACGCCGUAAACGAUGAUAACUAGCCGUUGGGGGGAUUUACCCUUUAGUGGCGAAGCUAACGCGUUAAGUUAUCCGCCUGGGGAGUACGGCCGCAAGGUUAAAACUCAAAGGAAUUGACGGGGACCCGCACAAGCGGUGGAGCAUGUGGUUUAAUUCGAUGCAACGCGAAGAACCUUACCUGGUCUUGACAUCCUGCGAACUUUCUAGAAAUAGAUUGGUGCCUUCGGGAACGCAGUGACAGGUGCUGCAUGGCUGUCGUCAGCUCGUGUCGUGAGAUGUUGGGUUAAGUCCCGUAACGAGCGCAACCCCUAUCCUUAUUUGCCAGCACAUCAUGGUGGGAACUAUAAGGAGACUGCCGGUGAUAAACCGGAGGAAGGCGGGGACGACGUCAAGUCAUCAUGGCCCUUACGACCAGGGCUACACACGUGCUACAAUGGGAAGGACAAAGAGCCGCGAAGCCGCGAGGUGUAGCUAAUCUCAUAAACCUUUUCGUAGUCCGGAUUGGAGUCUGCAACUCGACUCCAUGAAGUCGGAAUCGCUAGUAAUCGUAGAUCAGAAUGCUACGGUGAAUACGUUCCCGGGUCUUGUACACACCGCCCGUCAA
rnacentral:rRNA from 1 species